GAGUUUGAUCCUGGCUCAGAUUGAACGCUGGUGGCAGGCUUAACACAUGCAAGUCGAACGGUAACAGGAAGAAAGCUUGCUUUCUUUGCUGACGAGUGGCGGACGGGUGAGUAAUGCUUGGGAAUCUGGCUUAUGGAGGGGGAUAACUACGGGAAACUGUAGCUAAUACCGCGUAGUAUCGGAAGGUGAAAGUGUGGGACCGCAAGGCCACAUGCCAUGAGAUGAGCCCAAGUGGGAUUAGGUAGUUGAUUAGGUAAAGGCUGACCAAGCCGACGAUCUCUAGCUGGUCUGAGAGGAUGACCAGCCACACUGGAACUGAGACACGGUCCAGACUCCUACGGGAGGCAGCAGUGGGGAAUAUUGCACAAUGGGGGGAACCCUGAUGCAGCCAUGCCGCGUGAAUGAAGAAGGCCUUCGGGUUGUAAAGUUCUUUCGGUGAUGAGGAAGGUGUUUGUUUUAAUAGAACAAACAAUUGACGUUAGUCACAGAAGAAGCACCGGCUAACUCCGUGCCAGCAGCCGCGGUAAUACGGAGGGUGCGAGCGUUAAUCGGAAUAACUGGGCGUAAAGGGCACGCAGGCGGUGACUUAAGUGAGAUGUGAAAGCCCCGAGCUUAACUUGGGAAUUGCAUUUCAUACUGGGUCGCUAGAGUACUUUAGGGAGGGGUAGGAUUCCACGUGUAGCGGUGAAAUGCGUAGA
rnacentral:rRNA from 1 species